rnacentral:sRNA from 1 species
AAUACAGGAGUGUUUAUGGUUGGGUUGAGACACAUUCAGUAGCUGAGUGAUUGACAGCAAGAGGAGCAAGACAUGAGGUAGAUUUGUAUUAUAUUCUCAGUGAAACAGGAUAGCUUUAGAAGCUUUUUAAUAAAAAGGAUAUAUGAUCUAAAUUUCCUACUGUUAAUAAUUAUCAAAUAUAUGGCAAUGCUGGACUUUAGCUGAUCAUCGUGCUUCUGGAAAACAACAAAAAUUGAGAUAUCUGUUCACCACUUUGUGUGUCCAAGGACCACCUACUUUUUACAUGUGACAAGAACUACCCACCUCCACUCUUCAGAACAUGCUGAAGAAAAGAGUUGCAAUGAGAAAAUAUAUGGGAACAAAAUACCUAUGCAAUGCAGAAGUCUGCAUAACUGAACCACUCAGAGGAAAAAGUUUCCCUCCCAGGCUGGAGUACAAUGGCGCGACCUCGGCUCACUGCAACUUCCACCUCCCAGUUCAAGCAAUUCUCCCACCUCAGCUUCCUUAGUAGCUGGGAUUACAAGUGCCUGACACCAGGCCAAGCUAUUUUUGUAUUUUUAGUAGAGACGGGGUUUCACCAUUUUGACCAGGCUGGUCUCAAACUCCUGACCUCAGUCCAUCGGUCCACCUCGGCCUCCCAAAGUGCUGGGAUUGCAGGCAUGAGCCACCGCUCCUGGCCUCAAGUUUAAUUCUUAAAUUGCCAUUUCAGGACACCUCCUACAUCUGAGGAAAUAUGCAUUGAUCUUGCAGUACUUUUCUCCUCCAAAUAAAAGUCAGUAUGAUAAC